CCCGGCUCCUCCCCUCCAGUCCCGAAGGGAGCGAGGUCUCCGCGGAGCGUGCCUGGGUCGUAUUCGCUGCGUAAGGAGGUGGGCAUCUGCCAUUGAUUUCAGUAUUAUGCAAGGAGAGUAAUGGAAUUUAUCAAGGACAGUUAUGAAUCAACGUUGUAUGGAUCAAAAUACAGUAGACCCUCAGAGUUACGAACGCAAAGGUUACAAACUGAUCAGUCAACCACACACCUCAGUUGGAACCAGAAGUAUGCAAUCAGGCACAGAGACAAGAUUUCAGGAGAAAUCCCAAACAGGAGGUUAAAGACUCACCGUGACGAUCAAUGCUAUUAUCUCACCAUUUUUACAAGACUAGGAUAAAUGUACAAAGUAUGCCUUGUGAGGUAUCAUUUGAAAACUCAUCGUGUGCUGAACAUUAUUGUCCUGGUAAAAUAAGUGCAUCAAUAUUGUAUGUGAAGUAAUAAGCUUCUGCUGUAUAGCAUUGUUAUAACAUGCUCCAAGAUUAAGAAAAGCAGGCCCAAACCAAUUUUUCAGAGACAAAGACACACUGACACCCCACUAGGUGUUAAAGGGCUAUCACCUAUUUACACAGCCAUUCUCCAGCAACAGGAAGGUGUGAAUAAGAAAUUUACAUUCCAUCACAGAGACGGGUCAGACCUCACAAGAGACUACUUGUCACCUGCACCGCAGCGGGGGGUAAUCCUCAAAGAGAGCAGGGUGGUAUAGGAAUGAGAGACAGUGGCCUCCAAUUUACCUCUUUUCUCUUAAAUGCACACCUUACAUUUUAAAAUGAGGGUUUGUUUGGUAAAUUUUAGCUAAAUAAGAACAUUUUAGCUAAAUAAGAACAUUGGUUCAGACCAAUGGUCCAUCUAGCCCAAGAGUUCUCAAACUGGGGGUCAGGACCCCUCAGGGGGUC